UGCUUAACAGAGAGAGGCUCCGCCCAGCAAUUAGACACAGGUGGAGCAGAUUAGGACAGAGCAGGUAAUCAGACAGGUGGGCUGGACCUGAGAGAGGACAUGGGAUGGAGGGGGAGAGCAGUAGCCUACAGGAGUGAAGCAUGCAUAAAAAACAGCACAAUAACCCCUCCACCUCCACCACCACCAGCAGUGUUGCUCUGAAGCACGUCAGAGGAAGCGGGCUAUGAAUCGAGGUGCACAGCGGGGUAAAGAAAACAUUUCUUGGGGACACAGCUAGGGGACAGUGCCGGUCUCCUGACUCGGGACUGACACUCCCCUCCCCUCCACGCACACAAACUAACAUCCCGGAAAGCUUCAAGUCCACAUCGCGCUGCAGGGGAAAACAUCUGAGGUAAUUAUGCAGAGUUUUUUGCACUUCUCUGCUCGCUUUGAAACAAUGUGAGCCGAAUAAGGGAGGGAGUGGAGGCGGUGGCGGAGGUAAUGGUGGUGAGGAUGUCAACUCAGUGGUAAAGUCAAGAGGCACGUGUUUGUUUUUGAAGUGGGGG
ensembl:lncRNA